rnacentral:rRNA from 1 species
GGAUUCCCCUAGUAACUGCGAGUGAAGCGGGAAAAGCUCAAAUUUAAAAUCUGGCAGUCUUUGAUUGUCCGAGUUGUAAACUAGAGAAGUGUUAUCCGCGCUGGACCGUGUAAAAGUCUCCUGGAAUGGAGCAUCAUAGAGGGUGAGAAUCCCGUCUUUGACAUGGACUACCAGUGCUUUGUGAUGCGCUCUCAAAGAGUCGAGUUGUUUGGGAAUGCAGCUCAAAAUGGGUGGUAAAUUCCAUCUAAAGCUAAAUAUUGGCGAGAGACCGAUAGCGAACAAGUACCGUGAGGGAAAGAUGAAAAGAACUUUGGAAAGAGAGUUAAACAGUACGUGAAAUUGCUGAAAGGGAAACGCUUGAAGUCAGUCGCGUCGGCCAGGAAUCAACCUUGCUUUUGCUGGGCGUACUUUCUGGUUGACGGGUCAGCAUCAAUUUUGACUGCUGGAAAAAGUUCAAGGGAAUGUGGCAUCUUCGGAUGUGUUAUAGCCCUUGUUCGCAUACAGCAGUUGGGAUUGAGGUACUCAGCACGCCGCAAGGCCGGGUUUCGACCACGUUCGUGCUUAGGAUGCUGGCAUAAUGGCUUUAAUCGACCCGUCUUGAAA